GAUGAACGUUGGCGGUGUGCCUAAUACAUGCAAGUCGAACGGAGUUAAUAGCAAUAUUGGCUCAGUGGCGAACGGGUGAGUAACGCGUUGGUGAUCUGCCUUGAAGUGUGGAAUAACGUUUCGAAAGAGACGCUAAUACCGCAUGUGCUCUCGAUUUUCAGAAAGUUGAGAGUAAAGGAUUUAUUCGCUUCAAGAGGAGCCUGCGUCCCAUCAGCUGGUUGGUAGGGUAACGGCCUACCAAGGCUAUGACGGGUAGGGGACCUGAGAGGGUCGGCCCCCCACAAUGGAACUGAAACACGGUCCAUACACCUACGGGUGGCAGCAGUAGGGAAUAUUAGAAAUGGACGAAAGUCUGAUCUAGCAACACCGCGUGUGCGAAGAAGGCCUUCGGGUCGUAAAGCACUUUUUGGAAGGAAUAGGAAGGAAUGUACUUCCAGAAUAAGUCUCGGCUAACUACGUG
rnacentral:rRNA from 1 species